rnacentral:rRNA from 1 species
GUUGAACGCUGGCGGCAGGCUUAACACAUGCAAGUCGAGCGGGGUGAUGGUGCUUGCACUAUCACUUAGCGGCGGACGGGCGAGUAAUGCUUAGGAAUCUGCCUAUUAGUGGGGGACAACAUCUCGAAAGGGAUGCUAAUACCGCAUACGUCCUACGGGAGAAAGCAGGGGAUCACUUGUGACCUUGCGCUAAUAGAUGAGCCUAAGUCGGAUGUAGCUAGUUGGUGGGGUAAAGGCCUACCAAGGCGACGAUCUGUAGCGGGUCUGAGAGGAUGGUCCGCCACACUGGGACUGAGACACGGCCCAGACUCCUACGGGAGGCAGCAGUGGGGAAUAUUGGACAAUGGGGGGAACCCUGAUCCAGCCAUGCCGCGUGUGUGAAGAAGGCCUUAUGGUUGUAAAGCACUUUAAGCGAGGAGGAGGCUCUUUUGGUUAAUACCCAAGAUGAGUGGACGUUACUCGCAGAAUAAGCACCGGCUAACUCUGUGCCAGCCGCCGCGGUAA